AUCAACUACACCAACUUGAAUACAGAGAGACAGGCUGAUGUCUAGAGAUUAGAGUCUGAGAAAGACAGAGCGAGCCGUGAGGGAGUGGUGGAGGCGCGUAGCCAUGGAGGAGCAAGGCGGCGCCAACUGAUUCCGGUGCGUCAACAACCCCAACCAACAAAACAACGACUGAGAGAGAGUUGUGAGGGAGUGGCGGCUGAACACCGCCCCCGGUGGCGGAGCGAUGGAGGAGCACGACAGCGCCACCUGAUUCCAGGGUGUCAACGACCCCAACCACGGAACAACGGUUGAGGGUUUCAGAGAGAGAAAGAGGCUGUGUACACGGUGGCCAUGUCGACGGUUAGCAUUCCGACCAGAUUUCGAUCUAAAGAGCAGUACCAGCAAGGAGAACCAGGUGAAGAUCCGGUGAGCAGAUUGAAGCCUGUACGAGAGCUCUUCAAGUGAAUCGGCAACACUCCAGGCCUACUCUACAUAUAAGAAACAGUGAAGCGGAGUAGGGCACAGUUGGAAUAGGGCUGGUUAUGUCAAAUUGGUGGCUACUUGUGAAAUUCCGGUUACACCCGUUUGGAACGCCAGUGUCCACAGGUCAGAGGUAAAGCAUGGUGAUUGGCUUGGUGAAGAUUUGAAGUUCUUGAGGUCUGUCUCGGUAAUGGUUGAUGAGAGUCAAGAAUAGGUCAAAUCGGUCAACAUAGAAACUCAGGUCAGAACCCAGUCAAACGAUGGAAGUUCCAGUGGCCACUUCUAUAUUUUGAUAUUUGGCUUUUUAACAUAGGUUUGGGUUGCAGUUGCCUUUAAAACCUUUUGUAUCUUCAAAUGCUUAUAAACAAUCACUUAGAGUUUUUGAAAUGUGAAUUGUCAUGUU
rnacentral:lncRNA from 1 species